GCAUAUCAAUAAGCGGAGGAAAAGAAACCAACAGGGAUUGCCCCAGUAACGGCGAGUGAAGCGGCAACAGCUCAAAUUUGAAAUCUGGCCCCUCGGGUCCGAGUUGUAAUUUGUAGAGGAUGCUUUUGGCAAGGCGCCGCCCGAGUUCCCUGGAACGGGACGCCACAGAGGGUGAGAGCCCCGUCUGGCUGGCCGCCGAGCCUCUGUAAAGCUCCUUCGACGAGUCGAGUAGUUUGGGAAUGCUGCUCAAAAUGGGAGGUAUAUGUCUUCUAAAGCUAAAUAUUGGCCAGAGACCGAUAGCGCACAAGUAGAGUGAUCGAAAGAUGAAAAGCACCUUGAAAAGAGGGUUAAAUAGUACGUGAAAUUGUUGAAAGGGAAGCGCUUGUGACCAGACUUGGGCGCGGCGGAUCAUCCGGGGUUCUCCCCGGUGCACUUCGCCGCGUCCAGGCCAGCAUCAGUUCGUCGCGGGGGAAAAAGGCUUCGGGAACGUGGCUCCCCUGGGAGUGUUAUAGCCCGUUGCACAAUACCCUGCGGUGGACUGAGGACCGCGCAUCUGCAAGGAUGCUGGCGUAAUGGUCACCAGCGACCCGUCUUGAAACACGGACCAAGGAGUCGUCUUCGUAUGCGAGUGUUCGGGUGUCAAACCCCUACGCGUAAUGAAAGUGAACGCAGGUGAGAGCUUCGGCGCAUCAUCGACCGAUCCUGAUGUUCUCGGAUGGAUUUGAGUAAGAGCAUACGGGGCCGGACCCGAAAGAAGGUGAACUAUGCCUGUAUAGGGUGAAGCCAGAGGAAACUCUGGUGGAGGCUCGCAGCGGUUCUGACGUGCAAAUCGAUCGUCAAAUAUGGGCAUGGGGGCGAAAGACUAAUCGAACCUUCUAGUAGCUGGUUUCCGCGA
rnacentral:rRNA from 2 species